AGUCCUAUGGCUUACAUGGCAAAUCGCCUGCCUGGUAUGCAGAAGUUCACGAGAUCGAGUCUCGUUGGGACCU
rfam:Daphnia pulex DAPPTscaffold_221_Cont7370, whole genome shotgun sequence.